rnacentral:rRNA from 1 species
UACGUAGGGUGCAAGCGUUAAUCGGAUUUACUGGGCGUAAAGCGUGCGCAGGCGGUUAUGUAAGACAGUUGUGAAAUCCCCGGGCUCAACCUGGGAACUGCAUUUGUGACUGCAUGGCUAGAGUUUGGCAGAGGGGGGUAGAAUUCCACGUGUAGCAGUGAAAUGCGUAGAUAUGUGGAGGAACACCGAUGGCGAAGGCAGCCCCCUGGGUCAAGACUGACGCUCAUGCACGAAAGCGUGGGGAGCAAACAGG